CACGAAGUUAGCCGGUGCUUAUUCUUUGGGUACCGUCAGAACAACCGAGUAUUAAUCGACUGCUUUUCUUUCCCAACAAAAGGGCUUUACAACCCGAAGGCCUUCUUCACCCACGCGGUAUGGCUGGAUCAGGCUUGCGCCCAUUGUCCAAUAUUCCCCACUGCUGCCUCCCGUAGGAGUCUGGACCGUGUCUCAGUUCCAGUGUGGCUGAUCAUCCUCUCAGACCAGCUACGGAUCGUCGCCUUGGUGGGCCUUUACCCCGCCAACUAGCUAAUCCGACAUCGGCUCAUCUAUCCGCGCAAGGCCCGAAGGUCCCCUGCUUUCACCCGAAGGUCGUAUGCGGUAUUAGCGUAAGUUUCCCUACGUUAUCCCCCACGAAAAGGUAGAUUCCGAUGUAUUCCUCACCCGUCCGCCACUCGCCACCCAUAAGAGCAAGCUCUUACUGUGCUGCCGUUCGACUUGCAUGUGUUAGGCCUACCGCCAGCGUUCACUCUGAGCCAGGAUCAAACUC
rnacentral:rRNA from 1 species